AAACCAAGUUCUGAGAUCAGCUCCACGCAUCACAACCUAAUUGCAUUUAUUCCUGUCCUAUUUAAUAAACUACUAUCUCUGGAAAUUAAGAUUAAGGCCAUAAUUUGUUUUUAGCUACAAAGAGAAAGCUGGCCUGCAAGGUGGGAAGACAGGAAAAAAUCUAAAGAGCUGUUGGCUUGGGGGCAUCAAGGAGCCUGGGAGAUAGGCCAUAGUCCUGGGUUGUUUUCCCAGCCACACACACAUGCCAAGACCCUCGAACAAAGACUAGCUGGUCAUCAGCUCCUCAUAGAUGGGGCAACCUCCACACUGAUUUGGUGAGCAAGAGCUAAGAGGAGAACCUGUGCUCAGUCAAUAAGGAAUGCCCUUACCAUCAGAUGCGUGCUUGCUUGAAAAGAAAAUUGAGAUAAGUUCAUAGUCAAGCUUUAUCGAGACAUACCAUUGACUUCUUUUGCUUCAGAACAUGAGCCCUCUCUGUCACUGACUGGCAGGCACUGCCCGUAUUUCUGAUCCUGACUCCUUUAGGAAGCCUAAAUGUGCUUGAUCUGAAGUGCUAUUCCCCUCAUUGACUGAGAUAGGACCUGCUCUAUCUCAUCAGGAAACCCGGACUGCAUUUUACAGCUUGAUGGUGUCAGCAUGUCUCAGCAAUAAAAACUGCUGUUCUCAAUGUCACCAAUCACAUGGACAUCACAAAUCACUUGCAAAGUCAACAGACUCUUGUCUGCCCGCACAGUCUUCAGAAAAUGUGUCCAGGUGAAUUCAAAGCAAGGCAUUCUAAUUAGAACAAUGUACAGAAGGAAAGAAGGUAUGAGAGUCUGAGGGGAGUUUGAGGAACAGAAAGUAGACAGGGCAUCUCUGAAUUGGGGACUCUGAUUGGCCCAGAAGGAAUCAACUACUAUGUCUGUGUGCAUAAGAACAGAGAUAGGCAAAGUUGACUGUAAGAAAUGGAACAUCCGGGCCACGCACAGUGGCUCACACCUGUAAUCCCAGCACUUUGGGAGGCUGAGG
rnacentral:lncRNA from 1 species